GGGACUGUGUGCAUGGAUCUUCCUGAAGACACGCCUUCUGAGAUCACCCUCAGUCCCCUGACUGAGUGACCAGCCACUUGCUUGCCUACUUCCUAUAGUUCUUCCAUGUGUGUCGAUCCAGGGCAGAAAUAUUUACUUCCCUGAGACCUAAAGAAUCUCCCAGAAGAUGGCCUCCAGGCCUCGGGCGUGCUGUAACUGCCUGCUCAGGUAGAGGUGCAUUUACUGAUGCUGCAGAUGCUGAAUGAAAAUGUGGUGACUCCAACUUCCAGAAGCCCCGCAUGAGUGCAGCAAGGGGUGACUCCAACUUCCAGAAGCCCCACGUGAAUGCAGCAAGGGGUGACUCCAACUUCCAGAAGCCCUGCAUGAGUGCAGCAAGGGGUGACUCCAACUUCCAGAAGCCCCGCAUGAGUGCAGCAAGGGGUGACUCCAACUUCCAGAAGCCCCACAUGAACGCAGCAAGGGGUGACUCCAACUUCCAGAAGCCCCACAUGAAUGCAGCAAGGGGUGACUCCAACUUCCAGAAGCCCCAUGUGAAUGCAGCAAGGGGUGGGUUUUGUACAUUUAAACAAAACUAUGCAAUUGGACAGAUGGAUUACCAAGGAGACUAAAAAUAUAUUCUUUGACUUUGGGAAUUGCCUACCAAAGUAAUUUCUGCAUUCUCUGUUUGCUAGUGUUGUGACAUCUGCCUUCAGCAAUGACCUGGUUGUAAGAGGGAUUUUUAACAAUGUAACUAGUAGCUUUCUCAAUAGCAUGGGGACAGCUCAGAAAUUCAGUUGUUUGAUGGAGAAUGUCCACAUCUCAUGAUACCUAGGAGAUGCCAGGAGUCUGUUUCUGUCAGGAGAAUCCCAGCUCUAAAAACUUGCCAUAGUAAGAAGAUUUGUUUUUAAUUAUUGUUGUUUAGUUUGGUUUUCUUUUGAAUAAAGCUAUUUAACUGGCACAGGUGGCCAUAAAAUUACCAAGUAAAUUCAAGAUGAACUGUCAGUAACAAAAUGUGUUUAAAAGUCCUACUAUUGAGACAUUUCAUGUUUAUCUUGAGGAUAUGUCCAGAAAAAUAUGUGCAGGUUUUAUAUAUUUAUUUCAUAUAU
rnacentral:lncRNA from 1 species